GAUCUUCACCAACUUCUCUUUGCUUCUUCUUCACGGCGCAAAAAAAAAAAAACAUCUAACUUAACCAGUUAUGCGACUUUACCUUUCACAAUCACAACCAAUUUCCUCUACUUUUAUCGCAUCAACUAUUUUCAUUAGACUCCUUUCGUUUACUAAAAGCUCACUCACUCCCACGUCUUUUGAAGUAUAAUUCAAUAGCGCUUUAAGACUUCUCAUUGUUGGAUAAAUUGUUCUUUGCAAUUUGGUGAGGAAAACUGCAUCCUCUUGCCUUUUGCAUAUGCACAACUAUGCCAGUUCUGACAAAGUUCUUUAUCCAGGCUAAGAAAAUUGCUUCAACAAUGAUUUUGAAGAUAGAAUGCGUGAUCUAUUGACUAGUUAACUUUCUCAAUUAAGAUUGCCAUCUCAACAUUUUGAUCUUUGUACUUAGAAAAAGGAAACUUUUCAAUGGCUAGCUUUGGGUUUAGAGUGUCUAUGUAUGCCAGUAUUUCUUCCGCUUCUAUAUUGAUCAAUAUGCCUUAAGCAUGGAAAAGAUAAGUGCUAAAAACGGCCUUAGCAUUUUUAAGGAUUACAAAGACAAAAAGAGAGAAUAAGGAGGGGUUGCACUUUUGUAACAGAGAUGGAAAGAGUGAAAUUCACUAAUUUAGGGGAAUGCAGUGAAACAGAGCUGGGUUUUCUUUUUCUAGGUCUCGCGUGUUAUAUCACUGUUAGUUUCAACGGAUGUGGUUGUUUUUUGAAUUUUCCAGUUUGCAUUGUGACCAAUAUUUGAAUCUAUAAAGCAGUCUUGCUUGUAUAGCAGUGUCAGUGCUUCUGGUUAAACGUGAAACCGAAGCAUAGCUAGGAAAAUUGUGUUUUACGUUAUAAUGAUUGCCACCUUAAUAGCUGAUCCUUUAUCGUCCACAUGUAUCACAUUCUCGAACACCAUAUCCGCCUACCUGUAGUGCUAAUAGUGAAUAAUGCUUGGAUAGUAGUUUGAAGUGUAAGCUAUUGUUGCAUAUGAUAAUUUUUUUCUAAGCCACUUCAAUUAAUUUAUGUGAUUGACAAUACCAUUUAACGAAUAAUUCUCAACGACUAUCUUGCUCCUUAGUAGCACAUUUAGAGAUCCCUAUAUUGUAUUUUGUGCAAUGUACCGUUAAAUUACGAUAAAUAUGGUUUGGAGAUUAAAAAAAAUGGAUUCUUUGUAGUUCUGGCAUCUAUUGUGUUUUGAAAAUUGGCCAGAUUUAUGCCUUUGCAUGGUAAAACGUAGUGAGCACAUGAACAAUAUUUCGUCUAAGACAACGAGAGGCCAACUUUUAGUGACAUCUGUGAUAAACCUUGAAGAUUUUGGACUAAUUGACGAGGUUGUAUCUACUUACACUCCACUUAACUGCAAGAAUAGUUCGAAGAGCUCCGACCAACUAGCUCUGUUUGUUAACAUACAUCCUACUGAGAGGGCUAGGUCAAAUUCAUCCCACGUUAGUGCAGGGAAAGAACUAUCCAUGGAAAAGAAUGGACAAAAAUCUGUUGCAGAUUCAGUGAAUGGAAAAAAUGAGGAUGACUAUGAGAUCAAAUCAUUGCUCUUAAAAAACACGACAAUUUUAUACAUAAACAUAAUACCCCUUCACGACUCACGGCAGUAAUUGCAUUUCAUACUCAUGUUAAUACAAACUCACAGUGGUUGUCUAUAUGCUCUGAGAGUGACGAAUAGGGGUUUUGAGCUUCCUUUAGCCUAGCACCUUCUUUUUCAAGUAUCUCCCUAUUUCGUUAUACAACAAUGAAAGCAUGCGGAACAGAUGUUGCUCCCUCGACCACCUAACAAGGUUGAAUCAGAGACAUUUUUGCUCAAUUUGGAAAUUUUGGUUUAAGAAAAUAGAAACAGAGGAUCUAUAAUGCUUGAAAUUUUGCUUUUGAUUUAGUGUUUGAAUUUGCUUGAAGAGUUUCUGAUGAUGAACCAGAGAAGCUGUAAUGAUAUUUAUAGUUGGGCGUGUAGAAAAAGAAAGCGAUAAACUUAUGCAAUUCGAGGUACCUAGGAUGUUCUUCAGUUAAAGAAGAUGCUUCUACACUAUUCGACUUAAUUUUUCUAAAAUUAUUUAACACUUCUUAAAUAAUGUUGUAUCUCGAAUAAACUGGAACGGGAGUACUAGGAAUGUCAUUUUCAUUCAUUAUAACCACUCAGUUUAAUAUGGUUUUCUAUUACCUCCGUUCUGUUCUUCUUCUUUUCUACAUUUUUUCUUAAUUUGCCUCACGUGAGAGGAUAGUCCUGAUAUGUCAAGACUACUAACCUUUAUACACUCUUGAUUGGUGAUUUAAAGUAUCAGUUGUCGCAUUUAAUUUUUAUCUUAAUCACUGUAUCUUAGUCAUUUCUUAUACAGUUUUGGUUGGUGCUUCGGACUGUAUAUCAACAAAGACAUGUUGCUACCGCUUCUCUUGCUUUAUGGCCUUGCAGUAUAUGAGGCAUACACCAUCCAAAGUAGUGGCCAUUAUGAUUUGGAGGGUGCAACCAUUUCAGGUGAUAUUUUCAAUCUUUCUAAUGAGGAUGUGAAUAGUCCAAAGGGUGCCCUCAUAAGUAA